rnacentral:other from 1 species
AGGUGUCUGAAGAGUUCGAUGUUUGUUUAUUCUAUUUUGACCUAACACUUUUUGAUCGGGAGUCUAAUAGGUUUUCUUUUAGCGCACACGCCUCACAUGGAGGACUUGCAAAAUUAGAAACGGGACACCCACCUGUUUAUAGCAGGCCAAAAUGAUCAACACUUAAAACAACGGCUCACUUGGAUACUAU